GUUGCAAGUUGAUAUCGACAGGCGUGAACAAGGUUGUGCGGCCCAGUAUGAACAGUAUUGUUAACAUGUUGUUUUUGUCAGUAUGAACAGUAUUGUUAACAUGUUGUUUUUGUUACAACAUUGUUCAACUGUAACAACUUGUAACAACAUGGUUGACAACUUGUUCAUAGUUGGCCACACAACAUUGUUCAUGCCUGACAACUUGGAAC